GGCCCACAUGCAUACGAUCAUAAAUUUCCCUCAUGAUCCAAUUACAUAAAAUGACAAAUGCCAAGCAUGGUUAUAUUAGUAACAACCAUAAACCAAUCGAAGAUAUUUUUGGUAGUUUUACCUUCAAUUGAGAAAAUUGCAACAUUAAAAGACCUGCCAAAAAACGUAUAGUCCUGGCGCUAGUGGAAAAUUAAUGCCAGUCGCAAGUUGCUCUUACAAAUGGUUUCUUUGAGGCAUUAC
rnacentral:misc_RNA from 1 species